UAUGGGGUGGUCUGAACAAAUACUGCCUGAAAGGUCCAAAUUAUUAUGUGGAAUAAUAGUUCAUUAAAAACAAUUUAAUUUAUGAUUUGUUUUUACUUUUUUACAUCAAAUAAUUUAAAGUUACUAUGUAACUAUGUACUAUGUAACAUUUUAAAUUGAGUACUUUUACUCAAGUAGAUUUUUAGAUUGGUACUUUUACUUUUACUUGAGUAGAAUUUUAGCAAAGUAAAGGUACUUUUACUUAAUUACAAUUUUUCUCUGCAUUUGGGGCACAUUAAACUUGUGUUCUGGGUCAGACCAAAAUCUUUAAAACCAGAGACUGGUGGGUAUGAGCCAGUUAACAAAUGAACCAAUCAGUAAGUAAACCAGUGAGGUGCUGAAUCUGUGAGAAACUGGUAUGUGUGUGUGUGUGUGUGUGUGUGUAGGUAUGUGAGUUAACAGUGUCCGGGUGGGAGGGUGCGUGUGAGAAACGGCGCCGGUCUCAGAGCUGAUAGGUCCUCUGGAUGGUUUCUGUUUCAGGGUGGUUUCUAAUUAUCAGAAGUGUUUGGACGGUUGUAGAUGUGCUGCAGAGGAACCGCGUGCUGCAGAGAAAUGUGGUUGGUGUGGUCGGUCACAUUGUGGUGCUGAAACUCACCCAGCCGAGCUCAAAGACAAAAUGACUUCUGAUGCUGUAGGAACCGGUUUACGGGCCUGUGGAUGGGCCUCAGUGUGGAUGCUGCUCCUCCAGUUCGGUUCUGAUCCAGGUGCUGCAGAGACACUGGUGCGCCAGGUUGGAGCCACAGUUCACCUGAACGUAAACAUAUCUGUGGCACAAUCAGAUCAUGUGCGCUGGAAAUUACAGACAGACAAUGUUCUCAUUCUACUGAAAAAUACUGCCCAGGAUUACAUUAUUGAAAAUGGAAGCCUGCAGAUCCGUGAGGGGAACAAGAAACACUCUGGAUUAUACUUUUUGGAGAUUUUUAACAGUAGUGGAAGCUGUUUAUUAAAGAAAGAUUUUAAGAUCAUCUUUCUAGAACCAGUUUCUAAUAUCAAGGUUCUGCCUACUUGCCCUGAGGGAAAGAACACCACUGUAACCUGCACUGUCGACAGCGGAGAUGAUGUGCACUUCCUGUGGAAGUGGACUUUUAACGGGUCUGAGAAGAGCGAGGCACCGCAGGCAGAACCAGAUAAUCACACAGUUCGCAUCCUGUUUGAGGACGGUGUCCCUGACAGGCUUGUCUGUGAGGCACGGAACGCUUUGAAUGACAUAAGAGCAGAAGUUCAAUGCAGAGGGUACAUGUGGACGCUGGUGGCUGGCGCUGGGUUCCUGCUGGUCUGUCUGUUGGUGGGGGUUCUGGCCGUGAGGAGAAAGAGGAGCGCAGUCAGUAAAUCAGGUAAGAGAUUCCAGCCUCAGAGCUGAAGAUCUGCUGAUCUGUACAGAACCCGGUACUGAUGGUGUUUCUCUGCAGGAACAGAUGAUGUUUACCUCGACAUGACGGGACGACUUCAAGCCAAACCCCAACCUCAACAUCCGGCAGCCCCCCCUCCCGACACCUACGGUAAUGCAGCUCUUCCUUUACACUGUCUAUUUUACUAAUACUAUCAUUACAACAAUCACUAUAACUACAACAAUCACUAUAACUAUCACUACAACAAUUACUACCACUACUACUAUCACUAUAACUAUCACUAGAAUUAUUAUAACUUUCACUCAAACUGUCACAACAAAUAUCACUUAAACUAUCAUUUUAACUAUCACUAUAACAAUCACUUUAACUAUCACUCAAACUUUUACUCGAACUAUCAUUACAACAAUUACUACAACAAUCAAUAUAACAAUCACUACAAUUACUAUCAUUACUACUAUCACUACAACAAUCACUAUAACUAUCACUAUAACUAUCAUUACAACAAUCACUAUAACUAUCACUAACUCUCACUCAGAUUAUCACUACCACUAUAACUAUCACUAAAACAAUUACUAUAACUAUCACUACUACUACUACUACUACUAUCACUAUAACUAUCACUACAACAAUUACUAUCACUAUAACUAUCACUACUACUAUUAUUAUAACUAUCACUAUAACUAUCACUACAACAAUCACUAUAACUAUCACUACAAUUACUACCACUAUCACUAUGACUAUCACUACAACAAUUAAUAUCACUAUAACUAUUACUACAACAAUCACUAUAACUAUCACUACAACAAUUACUACCACUAUCACUAUAACUAUCACUACAACAAUUACUAUAACUAUCACUAACUCUUACUCAAAGUAUCACUACCACUAUCACUACAACAAUUACUACAACAAUCACUAUAACAAUCACUACAAUUACUAUCACUACUACUAUCACUAUAACUAUCACUACAAUUACUAUAACUUUCACUUUCACUACAACUAUCAGUACAAAUAUCACUCAAACCCUCAUUAUCACUACAACAAUCACUAUAACUAUCACCAUCACUAUAACUCACAAUUAUUAUAUCACGGUAACACUCUACUACUAUCACUAUAACCCACUACAACUAUCCCUAUAACUAUCAAUAAACUAUCACUAUAACAAACUACA
ensembl:lncRNA